rnacentral:rRNA from 1 species
UGACCUCCGUAUUGGGGCUUUGACUAGUCUGUCGGUGGCUGUGUGGUGCAUUUGCAAGUGGAGUGCGUCGAGGCAUCUGGGAUGGCGGAAUGAACUUGGCUUUGAGGCCAGCUUGCUGGUACCCGGGCCGGGGGAUUUCUGUUCGUUCUAGGUGUUUUUACGGUCGGACAAGGCUUUGCGGGCCUGGUUGGGUGCCGAGCUGGGUGUCGGUGGCGGUCGCUUGCGACACGUACUGUGCCACCAGUUCGGUCCUGGCCGAGCUCACUCCAUGUUCAAUCUCGGCGUAAAAGCUGGUCAUCUUUCCGACCCGUCUUGAAACACGGACCAAGGAGUUUAUCGUGUGCGCAAGUCAUUGGGCGUUGAAAACCCAAAGGCGCAAUGAAAGUAAAUGUAUCCGCUCGGAACUGAUGUGCGACCCUGGUCACUGCGGUGGCCAGGAGCAGCAUGGCCCCAUCCUGACUGCUUGCAGUGGGGUGGAGGAAGAGCGUACGCGAUGAGACCCGAAAGAU